GACAGAGGGUGCAAACGUUGUUCGGAAUUACUGGGCGUAAAGCGCGUGUAGGCGGCUUGGCAAGUCGGGUGUGAAAGCCCUGGGCUUAACCCAGGAAGUGCACUCGAAACUCCCGAACUGGAGUCCCGGAGAGGAAGGCGGAAUUCUCGGUGUAGAGGUGAAAUUCGUAGAUAUCGAGAGGAACAUCGGUGGCGAAGGCGGCCUUCUGGACGGUGACUGACGCUGAGACGCGAAAGCGUGGGGAGCGAACAGG
rnacentral:rRNA from 1 species